rnacentral:pre_miRNA from 1 species
AAUAAGUUUAUUUUUUAGUUUUUAGAUACAAUGUUUUUACUCUUCGUCUUAUUUGAAAUUUUAUUGUGAUUAAUAAUUUUAUUGUUACUAGAUGAUAAUACAUGAAUAAUACCUUAUGCGUGACUAAUUUUUCUAAGUUUUUUAAUAAUUUUUUCAAAUAAGACGAAUGGUCAAACUUUGGACAAAUAAAUCAAAAAAUGAAGUUAUU